GACUCGGGGUUGAGGGGGGGAGGCUGGGUUGCUCUCACCCCCACGCGACACUCACCGUGUCCCCGUGCCCCUGCGACCCUGUCUCUCCACGUCCCUCUGCGUGUGUCCCUGACCCUCUGACCCUCUGACCCCAUGACCCCGUGACCCAGGUCACGAGGGCUGCGUGUCGCUGCUGCUGGGCGCCGGCGCGGAAGUGGACUCGAGCGAGGGGGGGCACGGCCCCCCACUCCUCCUGGCGUGCGACGCCGGGAGGCUCGGCUGUGCCAGGCUACUCCUGCUGGCCGGCGCGAACCCGGACGCGGGCGACGGAGCACGAACUCCGCUCCACUCCACCGCCUCCCGCUCCACUCCACCGCCGCCUCCGGCCCCCCGGGACGCGGUGCCCCCCCGGCCGGCCCCCCCGGGGCCACCGCCCCCCGGCAGCACCCCGCGGGGCCCCCCCCGGCCGGACGACGACGACGACCUGACGUCCCUGCUGCUGGAGUUCGGCGCGGACCCGGACGCUCGCGACGGCGAGGGCAGGCGGCCGCUCGACCUCGCGACCCCCGGCAGCCCGGAGCACGCGGCGCUGCUGAGGCGCAGCAGGGACGCCCCCGCGCCGCUGACCCAGCUGUGCCGCUCCCUGGUGCGCUCCCAGCUGGCGGCCCCCGGCCUCGCGGCCUGCCUCCCCCUGCCCCCACGGAUCGUCGCCUUCCUCCAGC